UUUUUUUUCCCUUCGAUCUAUUUCGUUUAGCGUUGAACCUCCGCUCUGUGUGUUUCUCCUUCCCCUGCGCCGGGUACUUUUUUUUUUUUUUUUUUUUUUUCAGAAAACACUUCAAAGUUCAAAGCUCAAACCUUUCUUUCCUCUCCUUUUGGCCAGCACUCCAAGUCUUCAACCAGAAUUUACGGGCAAGUUUACUUCUGGAGCAAGAAG
rnacentral:misc_RNA from 1 species